AACGCACCUUGCGCCCCGUGGUAUUCCGCGGGGCAUGCCUGUUUGAGUGUCACGUGAAACCUCAUUAGAGUGAUGUCAAAGUCGCUUCUAAUGGACUUGGACUGUGCCGUAGUUGGCUCGUCCUGAAAUGCAUUAGCCGGGUCGCCUGACCGUGCUGGCCUUGGUGUGAUAAUUAUCUGCGCCUGUAAGUGCUUUGCGGUUCGGAGCGGUGCGGCUCACAGCCGUCCGAGAGGACAAUCACUAUAUAACGCUUUGGCCUCAAAUCAGGUAGGACUACCCGCUGAACUUAA
rnacentral:misc_RNA from 1 species